rnacentral:rRNA from 1 species
CGUUCUGUAAGCCUGUGAAGGUGUGUCGUGAGGCAUGCUGGAGGUAUCAGAAGUGCGAAUGCUGACAUAAGUAACGAUAAAGCGGGUGAAAAGCCCGCUCGCCGGAAGACCAAGGGUUCCUGUCCAACGUUAAUCGGGGCAGGGUGAGUCGACCCCUAAGGCGAGGCCGAAAGGCGUAGUCGAUGGGAAACGGGUUAAUAUUCCCGUACUUGGUGUUACUGCGAAGGGGGGACGGAGAAGGCUAUGUUGGCCGGGCGACGGUUGUCCCGGUUUAAGCGUGUAGGUGUGUGUUCCAGGUAAAUCCGGUUCACUUUAACACUGAGGCGUGACGACGAGGCACUACGGUGCUGAAGCAACAAAUGCCCUGCUUCCAGGAAAAGCCUCUAAGCAUCAGGUAACAUCAAAUCGUACCCCAAACCGACACAGGUGGUCAGGUAGAGAAUACCAAGGCGCUUGAGAGAACUCGGGUGAAGGAACUAGGCAAAAUGGUGCCGUAACUUCGGGAGAAGGCACGCUGACACGUAGGUGA